rnacentral:misc_RNA from 1 species
GAUGAAGAACGUAGCGAAAUGCGAUAAGUAAUGUGAAUUGCAGAAUUCAGUGAAUCAUCGAAUCUUUGAACGCACAUUGCGCCCGCCAGUAUUCUGGCGGGCAUGCCUGUUCGAGCGUCAUUUCAACCAUCAAGCCCCAGGCUUGUGUUGGGGACCUGCGGCUGCCGCAGGCCCUGAAAACCAGUGGCGGGCUCGCUGUCACACCGGGCGUAGUAGAUUUUAUCUCGCUCAGGGCGUGCUGCGGGUUCCGGCCGUUAAAAAGCCUUAUUUACCCAAGGUUGACCUCGGAUCAGGUAGGAAGACCCGCUGAACUUAAGCAUAUCAAUAAGCGGAGGA